UACGUAGGGUGCAAGCGUUAAUCGGAAUUACUGGGCGUAAAGCGUGCGCAGGCGGCUUUGCAAGACAGAUGUGAAAUCCCCGGGCUCAACCUGGGAACUGCAUUUGUGACUGCAUGGCUAGAGUGCGGCAGAGGGGGAUGGAAUUCCGCGUGUAGCAGUGAAAUGCGUAGAUAUCAGGAGGAACACCGAUGGCGAAGGCAGGUCUCUGGGCUGACACUGACGCUCAUGCACGAAAGCGUGGGGAGCAAACAGG
rnacentral:rRNA from 1 species